CACGUAGGGGGCAAGCGUUGUCCGGAUUUAUUGGGCGUAAAGAGCUCGUAGGCGGUUCGGUAAGUCAGGUGUGAAACCUCCAGGCUCAACCUGGAGACGCCACCUGAUACUGCUGUGACUCGAGUCCGGUAGGGGAGCGUGGAAUUCCUGGUGUAGCGGUGAAAUGCGCAGAUAUCAGGAGGAACACCCGUAGCGAAGGCGGCACUCUGGGCCGGUACUGACGCUGAGGAGCGAAAGCGUGGGGAGCAAACAGG
rnacentral:rRNA from 1 species